GAGCUCGGACGCGAGUUC
rnacentral:snRNA from 1 species